GGUGUAACGGAGAUGAGGAUGUUGCGGUGGAUGUGUGGUAAGACUCGACAGGAUAAAAUUAGAAACGAAGCUAUUAGAGAGAGGGUUGGAGUAGCGCCUAUUGUAGAGAAGAUGGUGGAAAAUAGACUUAGGUGGUUUGGGCAUGUAGAGAGAAGACCGGUAGACUCUGUAGUGAGGAGAGUAGACCAAAUGGAGAGAAGACAAACAAUUCGAGGCAGAGGAAGACCCAAAAAGACUAUAAGAGAGGUUAUAAAAAAGGAUCUCGAACUUAAUGAUUUGGAUAGAAAUAUGGUACUUGAUAGAACAUUAUGGCGGAAGUUGAUCCAUGUAGCCGACCCCACCUAGUGGGAUAAGGCGUUGUUGUUGUUGUUGUUGUGUUUGUUUAGAUUUUAAGUCAAAUAGGACCCUAAACUUCCCUCAUAAAUUAAAAUCAACCUAUUUAGUGAUAGUGAUUUUCAGUGGUGUGAGUUCAUUUGUAUGUGUAAUUUAUUUAUUUAAAGUGGUUGCUGCUAUUCAUGUGCGUGAAUUUUUAUAAUGGGCGCAGGUAUUCUUUCACCAAGGCUCUCUGCAUAGCGUUUGUGAUGACCUUUUUUUCCCUGUUUGAUGUUCCUGUCUUUUGGCCUAUAUUACUCUGUUACUGGUUUGUUCUCUUUGUCCUUACAAUGAGGCGCCAAGUUGCUCACAUGAUCAAAUACAAAUAUAUCCCCUUCAACUUGGGGAAGCAGGUUGAUUUUCUUAUGCUUAAAUUGCCCUUCCAUCAUAUACCUUGAUUUUCUUUCUGCCUGAAAUAUAACACACUUUUUCUCUUAAUAUUUGCAGAAGUAUAGCGGUAAUAAAUCUUCUGCAAGGAGCAGUAGCUCUCGUGCAGACUGAAACUUGUCUCUCAUGAUUGGAAGAUCUACUUAGUUAGGUUUUCUGAACAUUCAGGCUAGUCAAUGCCCCCCUUUUCUAUGAAAGAAUUUGUAUUCAUGGUAUUAUGGAUGUCAGUAUGCAUUAUGCUGUUACGGAAAAUCUUAAUGUCCACUCGUUUUAUUAUACAUGAAGACGUGCUAAUAUUGAUAGUGAAUCUCAUUGUCAGUGCACGUUAUUGAUUGGACUUUUCUUGUAAAUCUCAGCUUGUAUUGUGAAUUUGUGAUGCUGUAAUUUUUCCAUGCUUGGUGGCUUCUACCUCAAUAUUAAGGCAAAGUUCAUCUAUCGCUUUUGCUUUCUGUCUGCCUCAACUACAUCGUUCAGAUUAGAUAGGGUUUUGAACACCAUCGCCGAAAGUUGAGAUAUUGGAUAGGUUCACGUCAAAAUUUGGGCCCAGUAGGAUGCUGUUGAUUGCAGGUGUGCUUCUAAGCUGUUCAGACAGUGUCCAUUCGGUUUGUGAGUAUUGGAUGUUAUGCAUAUACCAACCAGCUAUUUUUUCACUGGGACUUUUGCAAAUGACGGUGGGUGUCGCUAUUUUAAGGGAAAGGACUUGAUCCAUUUCAUAAAUGAGUUAUUUUUUAAUUAUUCUAUUUCUUUUUUUACAGCGAUUAUUAUAUUUCUACUUGUUAAAAGGCUGAUCAAAUUCGCCUCUAAACAUACAAGUCCAAGCUUAAAGUUAAACAUUUUGUUCAAAUAAGUCAUGCAAGUAAUAAUUUGUAAAAAAGAAAAAAAAACCUUCAUGCAAGAAUUCAUUAUAUUUUAAAACAAGUGUCGUUUUAUUAAAUUCCUUAAUGGAGUAGAUUGUUUGGUUUUGGACAAAUCAUGAUUAUUAAUGUGACUUAUUUAGUAAAUAUAUUUAAAUUACUAAGUUAACAAAAAAAGAAUUAUUUAAAUAAUGGAAAUAAGUAAAAAAAACAAUUAGUGACUUGUAUGACAUGGUAAAAAAAUCCCUCCGGUCAAACAAUUUUUCUGUCAAUUAUAAACAAAUAUCAAUUACUUAAACGUCCUUAACUGACAGUAAGCAGAAAGUGGGACAGGCUUUGAUAGAAUCGAUGAGAUCUAUUGGCUGGUUUGAGAAUUUUGAAGCAGUUGGAAUAACAAGGGUGGAGGCUAUUGGGCCGAUUAGCCCAUUUCAGCGAAGCUUUGUAAUAUUAAAAGAAGUGAAACUCAAGCGAACAUGUAUUGUAGAUUGUAGAUCCAUCCACUCCCUCGCACAGGCAUCAGGUCAGCUCUCAUUCUUGAUAUGUUUCCUUUUCCACCAUCUUAGGGGUUCUGCUUUCCUCCUUAUCCACCCAGAUCUCAUUACUCAUUUCCCCUUAUUUUAAUAAUAUCCGUUUAUUUUGCACCAAAACAAAACCCUAAUAUUGGGAUCACAGGUGAGUUUGUUGUGAUUUGAAUGGAGGGAAGUGGAGGUGGCGGUGGCAGUGGCGGUGGUUCACCUUCUGCACCUGUGAAGCAAUACUUGCAGGAAUUCUCGAAGCUUUUUCAGUACUAUCUGGAUAAAUCCACUCCCCAUGCCCUCUACAGAUGGAUUGGGACUUUCGUGAUUGCAUCCAUCUACGUUCUGCGUGUUGUUUAUUUGCAGGGGUUUUACAUUGUCUCCUACGGCCUCGGAAUCUACCUUCUCAAUCUCUUGAUUGGCUUUCUCUCCCCUUUGGUUGAUCCAGAGCUCGAUCCCUCCAACGCCCCUAUGCUUCCAACCAAAGGCUCCGAUGAGUUCAAACCCUUCAUUCGCCGCCUCCCUGAGUUCAAGUUCUGGUAAUUUCCCAUUCUCUCUUUCCUCAAUUUUAACUUCUUUUGUAUCACUGUAAUUAUAUUCGCAUCAUAAACAAUAAUUUAUGUCCAUAGUCCUGUUUGGAUAAACCUUUUCAUAAGCAUUUACAGCAAGAGAAGAUAAAAUGAUUUAGACUCUGAUUGGAUAAACUGUCAAAAUUAAUUCAGUUUCUCCCAUUAGUUAAAAUUAGCUUAUUCAUAAGUUGAUUUAUAGAAAUUCUCUCAUAUAGGUAAAAAAAAUCUCUCCAGUUUUCUCUAAACUGGAUACUAUCUUCGCCCUUGAUAAUAUUUAAUCAUAUCAUUUUAAUAUAUAAAAAAUAGAAAGUAUGUAUUGAAUGGCAAGAUUUGUAAAUUGCUCACUCUCCCGUUGAGAAAAACUGGAGAGGAUCCGUGCAGUGUUGUCAACAGCAGAGCGUGGUGGAAAGCCCAACAUCCACCAUAUACAAUUAUACAUAUGGCGGACCAAUAUGUGUGUGAGUGUGAGUGUGUGUGUGUGAGAACAGUAGAUAUAAAUAAAUAAGGUUAAAUUACUCAUCUAUAGUUUCGCGAUUCUUACCUUUUUGGUCCCUAUAGUUUGAAAGCAUUUUUUUUAGUCCCUAUAGUUUACAUUUUAAUUGUCUUUUAGUCCCUAUAGUUUUGAAAGUGAUUUUUUUAGUCCUUAUAAUUUGUAUUUUAAUUCUCUUUUAGUCCUUAUAGUUUAAAAGUGGUCUUUUUAGUCCAUAUACUUUAUAUUUUAAUUCCCUUUUAGUCUUUACCAUCAAAAUAUGAGUAAUAUUAUCAAUUACAAUUAACUACAAAAAUAUUAGUAAGUAAUUCGUAACUAAUUUAUCAUAAGAUAAUUUGUAAUAAAAAAAUAAUUGAUAAUUUAUAACUAAUUUGUAGCUAAUUAUUUUUAUAUAUAUUUUUUUAAUAAGGACUAAAAGGUAAUUAAAGUAUAAAUUAUAAGAACUAAAAAUAUUACUUUCAAACUAUAAGGACUAAAAUGAACACUUUUAAACUAUAGGGACUAAAAGAGAAUUAAAAUAUAAACGAUAGGGACCAAAAAAAUCUUUUUCAAACUAUAGGAACUAAAAAGGUAAGAAUCAUGAAACUAUAGGGAUCAAAUGAGUAAUUUAACCAAUAAAUAAAAAAACUAAAAACACAGCAGAUAUAGAUACUAAAAAACAGCAAUACCAAUAACAAUGGAUUGCAUUCCUAGCAACCAUUACAAAUUUUAUGAGUUCACAAUAACCAUUAACCAAUGCCUAACAAACUCAUUUAGGGUGUGUUUGGUUCAGAGGAGAGAAAUAGAAGAUAAAUUUUUAAAUUAGAGUGUAAGAGGUGUGCAUCCCACGGAAAAGUACAAAAUUUCUUUGCUAUAUUAUUUCUCUCCUUCAUACCAAACACAGCCUCAAGAGUCUCUAAUCCUCUUCCUCAACUCUGACAUAAUGCUCUUCGUUGUUAUCAUCAAGUAAUGACGCAUAUCCCUCUCCCUCUUCUUCAUCGGACUCCUCAAAAGUAAUCAUGACCUCUUCUUCUUUGGAUUCCACAUCCUUGUCAUUUUUUUGGACUGCUACUUGUUUCUUUUUGAAGAUGUGGCCACUGCCUGUGUUUUUAGAUGUUUGGGCAGCACUAAGAGUAACACCAUCACUUGCUGGUUCCUUUCUUUUCUUUGUUUUGUUCCCAAUAGGCCAAUAUAUAUUCUAGGCCCUCCAACUCCCGAGGCCUCAUACAUAGUUGCCCAAUUUAGUGCAUCGUCAUUUUCAAAUACCAACUCAUUACCAGUACCAUUAUCUUGAUCAUCCAUCUCUCUUACUAGCCAUUUGUAACAUCAAUCUCAUUGAGAGAAAUUGGAUCAAUUUAAUUUCUAGCAUUAUAUCUUGGUUUGAGUUGUUGGCUGUAUUUUACAAACACCAAAUCAUGCAACUUCUUGUGCUCAAGCCUAUCUCUUUUUUGGAAUGAAUAUGCAACAUAAAUAAAACUUGCUCAAAAUCUCAAAUAUCUCUCCAAUCAAAAACUUGACCAUCAAAAUAAAAUGAAAAGCUUAGUUAUGAGCCUUAACCCUGUUUUCUAACAAAGGCAAUUACUUGCUCAAAUACACUCCAAUUUGUUUCACAUCCUGAAGCACUGCAGGUCUGGCUCAAAAUUUUGAUAGCUAGCCUUUGCAAAUAUGGAGCUUGGGAUGCAUACAUUUGCCACCCAAUAAGCUACAAAACCAAGUGCAUCACUUAGAAUUCUGAAUUGUAACUUUAAAAAAUUUCAAAAAAUCAAUUAUUAGUAGUUUCUUUCUAGGAUGAUGGGUUUUCCUGUGUCAUGGAAAAAUCAUAACCUAAGUGUUCAGCUCCAAACUUGUAAAGAUGCAACUCAGUUAAAAUCUUCUGUUGCAUAUCAGAUUGUGGGACCAACUUCCUAAUGCAAUGAUACAAUCUAAUUCCAAAUCUAUGUUGUCAUUGAAGAACUCCGGGUCUAAGAAGUGGGCAGCCACAUGCAAUGGCCUAUGAGGCUGACAAUUCCAAAUCUGUGUUAAAGUGCUUCACUUUGUGGAUGGUGAAAAGCCAUGGCCAUUUCUUUUCAUCAUCCACAAAGUGAAGCACUUUAACAACUAGAGCCAUGACUUUAACAAGCGAAGCUUCGCUCAAGAUAAAGCCUUCUCUGUUGGGGUUCUCUUAAGGGUUUAAAAGCCUUUAUUUCAAUUGGGUUGGAUCGGGUUACAGUACCCCUUUUUUUUGUCUUUAUAAUUAAGAAAAUACGCUUUUUCCGCCAUUGGCACCAAGCUUCUGCCAGCUACCAUGGUGCUGCCAUAUGAAGCCUGCAAUGCCACUGCCAUACAAUGGUGUUUUAUAAAAAAAACUGCUCCGCCAUAACUGCUAUUUCAUAACACUGGAUUGGUGCUCUGGAUAAGAAAACUGGAAGGCAAAAUGAAUUGAGCUUCUCUUAUAAACUAAAAUCAACUUAUGCAUCUCAACUUUUGGAGAAAUUAAAUGCAAGACUUUCUACUAAAUUAAGUGUAUAGUUUGAUUUUAACUUGUAGGAGCAACUCAAUUUUUUUUACCUUUUUAUUUCUUCUUCUAAUGGAGAAGUUUAUCCAAGCAUGGCUUAAUUCGUUUUACCCUUUAUUUUCUCCUCUUUAUAGUGUUUAUUGAUAUUUUUAGUCUAAUGGGACCUUAAACUUCUCCCAGAAAUUAAAAUCAACUUAAACUUAUGUAGUAAGUAGUGAUUUUCAGUGGUGUGAGUUCACUUAUAUGUGCAAUUUAUUUAUUUGAAGUGGUUGCUGCUAUUCAUGUGCGUGAAUUUUUGUAAUGGGCGCAGGUAUUCUUUCACUAAGGCUCUCUGCAUAGCGUUUGUGAUGACCUUUUUUUCCAUGUUUGAUGUUCCUGUCUUUUGGCCUAUAUUACUCUGUUACUGGGUUGUUCUCUUUGUCCUUACAAUGAGGCGUCAAGUUGCACACAUG
rnacentral:lncRNA from 1 species